UGCUCCGGUCAUGUUCUUAUCUCGGAGUUUAGUCAGUUUGUACUUUAGAACUUUCUCUCGAUUUUAUUUAAUUGAAAUGAAAGUGCAUGCUAUAAUGUUAUCAAACAAUUCAUAUUUUACCAUGGGUGGCUUUGCAGACUACCUCGGCAGGCAGCAAGUAACAUAUCUAUGUGUCCCUGGCUGAUUGACUUCAAUUGUUGACAGAACAAAGUCGCGAAUGAAACAAUUUGAAAGUCUUCGCACUCGUGAUGUCUGUCCAGUGGAAACAUUCAGUAUUGAAGGAAUGCUUCACUUCACUAUGUGCGAUUGCCGCUUGUAAUGUUGAGUUGAGUUGAAUUAUAAGUUAAAUUAAACGCUCACCGCACGUCACUGAUAAAUGUGUUUAUUUUUAUUUACAAGCUGUACCCUCAGCUUCAUCGCGCGGAAUUUAGUUUGUCGCUAUAAAAGUACUUACAUAGUGAAAUGCAAUGUCUACUCUAGAUAAAUUAGAUUUUUUACUGCGAAAGAAUUAUUAAAAUCAGUUCAAUA